GACAGAGGUGCCAAGCGUUAGGCGGAAUCACUGGGCUUAAAGCGUGUGUAGGUGGAUCGUUAAGUACCUUGUGAAAUCCCACGGCUUAACCGUGGAACUGCUCGGUAUACUGGCGGUCUUGAGCCAACUAGGGGCUAUCGGAACAAGUGGUGGAGCGGUGAAAUGCGUAGAUAUCUGGAGGAACACCGGUGGCGAAGGCGGCAUCCUGGACCGGCAUUGACGCUGAGGAGCGAAAGCCAGGGGAGCAAACGGG
rnacentral:rRNA from 1 species